rnacentral:tRNA from 1 species
GCACGACGUAGCUCAGCGGUAGAGCAGCUGCUUUGUAAGCGGAUGGUCGCCGGUUCGAGUCCGGCCGCGGGCUCGA